ensembl:lncRNA
CCUCAAACUCAGUGGCUUAGAACAGCACACACUGAGUGUCUCCCAGUUCCUGUGGGUCAGGAAUUCAGGAGCAGCUGAACUGUGUGAUUUUGCCUCAGAGUCUCCCAAGAAUCUGCAGCCAGGACAUGGGCAAAGGCAGAAUGUCCACUCACACAGCUGCUAGAGAGACCUCUGUUCCCUGCCGUGGGACGUCUCCACAGCGUGUGGGAUCUCAGUUCCCUCACCAGGGAUCAAACCUGAGUCCCCUGUACUGGAAGCUUGAAGCCGUAACCACUGGACCCCCAAGGAAGUUCCCUUAUUCUCUUUAUUGGAUUUCCCAGGUCCCGAGCGGAGGAGGCUGGCUCGGGACUGCUCGGGCCAGCGCGCCGCCCGAUCGUCUCUGGACUGAAGGUGAGGGGGAGGCGCCCAAGCCUCAGAGAUGCUCCCCACACUCGGAUGGGGCGGAUCUGCAAGUAAUGCCAGGGGCCGGAGGAAGGCUCCCA